AGGUGGGCGGAUCACUUGAGGUCAGCAUUCAUUAGUCAGGUGUGGUGGUGCAUACCUGUAAUCCCAGCUCUUCGGGAGGCUGAGGCAGAAGAAUCGCUUGAACCUGGGAGGCAGAAGUUGCAGUGAGCCGAAAUCGUGCCACUGCACUCCAGCCUGGGCGACAGAGUGAGACUCUGUAUCAAAUAUAUAUAUAUAUAUUUUGGCCGGGAACGAUGGCUCACGCCUGUAAUCUCAGCACUUUGGGAGGCUGAGGAGGGCGGAUCACAAGGUCAGGAGUUCAAGAGCAGCCUGGCCAAUAUGGUGAAACCCUAUCUCUACUACAAAUACAAAAAUUACCUGGGAGUGGUGGCACAUGCCUGUAGUCCCAGCGACUCUGGAGGCUAAGGCAGGAGUCUCGCCCUGUCUCCCAGGCUGGUGUGCAAUGGUGUGAUCUUGGCUCACUGCAACCUCUGCCUCCUGGGUUCAAGCCAUCCUCCUGUCUCAGCCUCCUGAGUAGCUGGGAUUACAGGCACGCGCCAGCAUGCGCGGCUACUUUUUUUUGUUUUGUUUUUUGUAUCUUUAGUAGAGACAGGGUUUCACCAUGUUGGCCAGGCUGGUUGGCACGAUCUCAGCUCACUGCAACCUCCGCCUCCUGGGUUCAAGCAAUUCCUCUGUCUCAGCCUCCUGAGUAGCUGGGACUACAGUCGCACGCCACCACGCCUGGCUAAUUUUUGUAUUUUUAGUAGAGAUGAGGUUUCACCAUGUUGGUCAGGCUGGUCUCGAGCUCCUGACCUCAGGUGAUCCACCCGCCUUGGCCUCCCAAAGUACUGGGAUUACAGGCAUGAGCCACCACGCCCAGCCGGCAAAACUUUUUAAUGAGUAGAAAUGUUCAACAAUAGAAUAAGCUGACUCAGAAUGGAGAACUCAUCAUUAGAUGGGUAUAAACAAAGUGGAAAG
rnacentral:lncRNA from 1 species